AGAACAGAAAGACAAUAAAAACACAAGUCAGGAGGAAGAAACUCUCUCUCUGGGGAAGCUACUGCUGGUGAGAAGGAAAUGGAACGUUAUGUGUGUCUGGGUGACAAGGGGUGCAUUGUCUUAGGAGGAAGAAAAAACAAAGCAGCAACAACCAUCAGCAUAGACGGAACAUCAAUGCACUGUUAAGAACUGGCAUCACACUGGCAAAGGAAACAGGAGCAAUUAUAGUGAAGAAUGAACUUGCACCAAAUCCAAGAAACACACAGGCAGUAUGCUCAGUGACCCAGUGAUUGGGCUUGAUUCUUGGCCCUUCAGGCACUGCUUUGACUCACAGCUCCAAGGAGAUGUGCUCUGUAUCCAGAAGAAACAUAAAGACACUUAAGGUAACCCACUAA